ACUCCACCCUUCAGCCAGGUUGUUAGAUUAAACCUGGAGUCAACAUGUUGCUUUCUCUGCCUAUAUCAACCUUCUUUGACUUCUCUGGAUGACCUCUCCUUAAACAACAGAUCCCUGCUUUCCAAGCACCCCUCUAGACAGACCCUGGACAUCUGCUUCCUAAGGAUUUCACCAGGAAGCAGGACUGUGUGGAGCCUGGCCUUGAAUGUCACCACUAAACAGGUCCUUUUAUACCAACAUGCUUAACAAUUUGUUUGGUGCCAGCUACUUGCUCACUCCUUGGAAUUAUUCCAUGUCCUUGCUAAGAAGAAAGAUAAAAAAAAAAUGCAACUGGGCUUUGAGACACCUGAGAAAUUGGAUCAUCAGUGGAGCAGACUGGCAUAUGCAUCAUUGGUUAUAUUAUUUAGGCUCCAUUUGUCUGAAUCCUUUCUUCAAAUUCCCCUAAUUGAAUAUCAAUUUAAUUGCAU